UUGGGAUUGGAGUAACGAACUUUGGAAACAGUGAUAGCUCAGGAUGUCCAGGCUUGAAGCUAAGCUAUCUGGAAAUUCUGGAGUUGUUAAAGCCACACGACAUGGACCAGAAGGCUCUGAAGAAACUGGUAGAAUCCAUCAGUGAAACUGUCAAGAACUUGUUUUUUGCAUUUGACAAAGACCAUGAUAACUACAUAAAAGUAAAAGAGUGGGUUAAAGGAUUAUCAGUGUUUCUUCAAGGAACGUAUGAAGAAAAGCUCAAGUGUAAGAUUUCUGUAUGUGAUUACUGGC
rnacentral:lncRNA from 1 species